rnacentral:misc_RNA from 1 species
GGAAGGAUCAUUCACACUCUCGAUUUAUCGAAUGUUAUAGAUUCAACGAACUGAACCCGUUACUCGGCCUUUCGGCCAGGCUUUCUCACUCCAUUCGUGGUUUGGGUUUGUCGGGCUGAGGGGUUUCGGGGCCGCACUAUUGCGGGCUAUUUUUUGUAUCGGUUAAAAUGUUUAAAAUUGUACUUUCAGCAAUGGACGUCUUGGUUCCCAAUUCGAUGAAGGACGCAGCAAAUUGCGAUAAGCAGUGUGAAUUGCAGAAAUCUGUGAACCAUCAGACCUCUGAACGCAUACGGCACUAGUAGGGACUUGUUCUCGCAGUGUGGUUGGCUCAGUGUCUUUCUUUGAUCCCAGUAUAAGAGUGAACUGGCGUCGAGUGAUCCGCGAACAUUUAUUUGUUCAAGGGCUACUGUGUCGUCGUAUAAAAAGAAGGUACGCUGUCGCUGUUUUUCUCUUUAAUGGGGUAAAGUGCUUGCACAAUCUCUUUCUGAGGAGGCAGUUGACUGUCGGUCACUUUUUGUUGACUGCUCAUUUUUUUUAACAAAUGACCUGAGCUCAAGCAAGGCAACCCGCUGAAUUUAAGCAUAUAAUUAAGCGGAGGAAAAGAAACUAACUAGGAUUCUCUUAGUAAUGGCGAAUGAACAGAGAAAAGCUCAAAAUGAAAAUCAUGCGCGCUACUGUGCGGGAAUUGUAGUCUGAAGAAGUGUCUCCAGUGGAAGUCGCAGAGCAAAAGUCUCUUGAAAGAGAACGCCAAAGAGGGUGAGAGUCCCGUAGCUGCUCUGCAGUACGUCCACAUACGGAACAUUUUCAUAGAGUCGUGUUUCUUGGGAGUGAAACGCUAAAUUGGUGGUAAACUUCAUCUAAGGCUAAAUAGUUUAUGGGAAACCGAUAGCAAAUAAGUACCUUGAGGGAAAGAUGAAAAGGACUUUGGAAAGAGAGUUAAAAUUCCCCGAAAUUGCUGAAAAGGAAGCGGUUGAAAUGCAUAUGCAAACCUGGGGUAUAUCUGUUUGAGCGGCUCAGGUCUGUUUGGUCAACUUUAUUGGGGCUUUAUAGAUUUGUGUCACUUGGCGGAGAAUCUUCUAGGAUGGAUCAGCUGCAGUUGGCGCUCUCGCGUGGAUGUUCAACACUCGGUCUCUCGAGACCGUAGCUGUUGCCCUUUCCCAACGGAUGGUGUCGACUGAGGUGAGCACAUGCUGGUUUACUGGCAUGCUUGGUAGCUGAUUUAUGAGUUUCCACCGGCCCGUCUUGAAACACGGAUCAAGGAGUCCAACACAUGUGCGUGUCCGUGGGUACGCAAUCCUAUGGGCGAAAUUAAAGUGAGUGUUCCCGUUCUGGAACAACCGACCACAAUCGUCGAGCGAGGUUUGAGUAUGAGCAUAUAUGUUGGGACCCGAAAGAUGGUGAACUAUUCCUGAAUAGGGUGAAGCCAGGGGAAACCCUGGUGGAGGCUCGUAGCGAUACUGACGUGCAAAUCGUUCGUCAAAUUUGGGUAUAGGGGCGAAAGACUAAUCGAACCAUCUAGUAGCUGGUUCCCUC